GGGGAUUUAGCCUGAAGCCAAAGGCCAAAUUUCAUAGGCGAGGAACUCCCAGCAUCAACUGCUUCAAGGAACUUAUCACAAUUCCUCGUUAUAUGGCCAAUGAUUCCACAUCGGAAGCAAAAGAUUAGAAGCUUUUCAUAUCUAACUUUCACCCAUUCUUUUUUAUCGCCAUAAUUAGAUAAGAAAAAAACCAGUAAGGAGGGUUUUACUUACCUCAACCCAGACUUCGAUUUGCAUAGCAGAUAGCCAUUCCUCCAUACUAUUGUUUGCAUUGUCCAUCUAAAUAAAACCCUUGAAUAAAUUGCCAAUUCUGAUUACAUUCUCCUCAUUCCAGUUGAUAGGAGGAAGUCCCAGUAUUUGAAUCCAGAAAGCAUUUGUAGAGAAAUCAAUCGCCGUUAUUGACUUAUCCGGUGGCCAUUUCUUUAGGACCAUUAGGUUAUUAUCAAUCAACCAAGGUCCCCCUUCAUAUAUUCUUUCCUUCUCCUCUGGAUCAUCGAACAUAAGAAUGAAAACACCUUCAGGCCCUCUUCUCACCUGAAAUUCAGUUUUGAUUGCCCAGAUCUUGCCCAUCACUAUUUU
rnacentral:misc_RNA from 1 species